AAAGCUCUUUGCAUCUUUGGUACUUCUCCUUCCUGCCCUGGCAGGUCUGAUGUCUCGUUUCUGCUGCCCCGCCGGCCUGUUUACCUGCUCUUGGGCCAUCACCUCUUCUUUGUUGUUACUAUGGCCUUGCAGGAUAGCUUGACAUUUUUUUAGUUUCUCUAAAGAAGAAAAAAACAGAAAUGUUUAUUGGGAUUUUAUCUGCAUGUGCUGAGAAAAACCAGUAGACUUUUCGUAAACCAUUAGAAAUGUUGGUAGGCAUGAGGUUAGCCUGCAGACUGGGGGCAUUUCUUACCCAGCAGUCCACCAGAAAGUAUAGUGACAACGAGAUACUUUUGAUAGUAGCAAGAAAAACAGUAAAAUGUUUCAGGAUUAAUUAACCAGGAGUACAGAAGACCUCCACAGAGAAGAACAUCAGUUAAUAAAGGAUGUGGGAGAGAACCACAUGCUCACGGUGCUCACAGAUGUCUCUUCUUCCCAAAUUAAUCCUGGACACUUUUUCAACAUGGUUGUGAAGUUGUCUCUUGACAGCAGGGACCGUGUCUGGUUUGCUGCCCCAUCCCCAGGGUUGAAAACAGAGCUUGGCUCAGAGAAGACUUUCAGUAGGUGUUUGUGGGCUGCAUCAGGCCCAGCCAUGUGCCCAGCAGACUCGGUGCCCUGCCUUUCCUCCUGACAGCACCAUGAGCCUAUUGCCAUGAUUAACCUUCGUGUCCAUGAUUGAUGGUCGGGACCACUGUGGAUUCUCCCACUGCCCUGUGGCUGAUUGAUACAGAGCCCCUGUUUGAAUUUCCUGAGCCAUACAGCAAAUUCCCGUUGGCUAUCUAUUUUGCACAUGUGGUAAAGAAUCCACCUGCCAAUGCAGGAGACACAGAUUCAGUGCCUGAUCCGGGAAGAUACCCACAUACCUUGGAACAGCUAAGCCGUGUGCUGCAGCUGCUGGGCCUGUGCUCUAGGAUGGCAGCUGCUGAAGCCCAAGCACUGCAGAGCCCGUGCUCCGCAACAGGAGGAGCCACCGCAACACGAAGCCUGCACACCGCAGCUGGAGAGUAGCCCCCACUCGCUCCAACUAGAGAAAAGCCUGCACAGCAGUGAAGACACGUCACAGCCAAUAAACAAAAUUAUUUUUAAAAAUAAAAAAAUAAAAUCAGUGUUUAUUGAGGCUACAGGCCUGUUUUUUUCUCUAUGCUUUUAUGUACAAUUUUUAUUAUUCUCUUAUCAGUUUAGUCAGUUUUGAUCUUUCACCUACAAGAC
ensembl:lncRNA